GACGAACGCUGGCGGCGUGCUUAACACAUGCAAGUCGAGCGGUAAGGCCCUUUCGGGGGUACACGAGCGGCGAACGGGUGAGUAACACGUGGGUGACCUGCCCUCAGCUCUGGGAUAAGCCUGGGAAACCGGGUCUAAUACUGGAUAUGACUCCAUGACGCAUGUUGUGGGGUGGAAAGCCUUGUGCGGCUGAGGAUGGGCCCGCGGCCUAUCAGCUUGUUGGUGGGGUGANGGCCUACCAAGGCGACGACGGGUAGCCGGCCUGAGAGGGCGACCGGCCACACUGGGACUGAGACACGGCCCAGACCCC
rnacentral:rRNA from 1 species